rnacentral:rRNA from 1 species
GAUGAACGCUGGCGGCGUGCCUAAUACAUGCAAGUCGAGCGAACGGACGAGAAGCUUGCUUCUCUGAUGUUAGCGGCGGACGGGUGAGUAACACGUGGAUAACCUACCUAUAAGACUGGGAUAACUUCGGGAAACCGGAGCUAAUACCGGAUAAUAUUUUGAACCGCAUGGUUCAAAAGUGAAAGACGGUCUUGCUGUCACUUAUAGAUGGAUCCGCGCUGCAUUAGCUAGUUGGUAAGGUAACGGCUUACCAAGGCAACGAUGCAUAGCCGACCUGAGAGGGUGAUCGGCCACACUGGAACUGAGACACGGUCCAGACUCCUACGGGAGGCAGCAGUAGGGAAUCUUCCGCAAUGGGCGAAAGCCUGACGGAGCAACGCCGCGUGAGUGAUAAAGGUCCUCGGAUCGUAAAACUCUGUUAUUAGGGAAGAACAUAUGUGUAAGUAACUGUGCACAUCUUGACGGUACCUAAUCAGAAAGCCACGGCUAACUACGUG